UAUUCCCUUCUCUUUCUCUCUACCUCCCCAGCUUCUUUCUGUCUGGCAUCAUCCAAGAGUGAGUGUGCGAUGGAGUCUCUGUUGUUCUUGGCACUUUCUCUCUCCUCUCCAUUCAUCAGACAGUCGAGCGCCUGCAGCCUUUAUAACGUGACAUAAUCUCACCCAGGCCACAGCAGAGAUGGAUUUCUGACCAAGACGGAAGGUCGUUGCGGAGCACUCGCUGAAAUUCGA